rnacentral:rRNA from 1 species
UGAGGAAUAUUGGUCAAUGGGCGAAAGCCUGAACCAGCCAUCCCGCGUGCAGGAAGACGGCCCUAUGGGUUGUAAACUGCUUUUCCAGGGGGAGAAACUCUCGUACGUGAUACGGGAUUGACGGUACCCUGGGAAUAAGCAUCGGCUAACUCCGUGCCAGCAGCCGCGGUAAUACGGAGGAUGCAAGCGUUAUCCGGAUUCAUUGGGUUUAAAGGGUGCGUAGGCGGACUAUUAAGUCAGUGGUGAAAUCCUGCAGCUUAACUGCAGAACUGCCGUUGAUACUGAUAGUCUUGAGUUUGGUUAAGGUAGGCGGAAUGUGUAAUGUAGCGGUGAAAUGCUUAGAUAUUACACAGAACACCGAUUGCGUAGGCAGCUUACUGAGCCGACACUGACGCUGAGGCACGAAAGCGUGGGGAUCGAACA